rnacentral:rRNA from 1 species
UCAAGUGAAUAAGUGCAUCAGGUGGAUGCCUUGGCGAUGAUAGGCGACGAAGGACGUGUAAGCCUGCGAAAAGCGUGGGGGAGCUGGCAAUAAAGCUAUGAUCCCGCGAUGUCCGAAUGGGGAAACCCACUGCAUUCUGUGCAGUAUCCUAAGUUGAAUACAUAGACUUAGAGAAGCGAACCCGGAGAACUGAACCAUCUAAGUACCCGGAGGAAAAGAAAUCAACCGAGAUUCCGCAAGUAGUGGCGAGCGAACGCGGAGGAGCCUGUACGUAAUAACUGUCGAGAUAGAAGAACAAGCUGGGAAGCUUGACCAUAGUGGGUGAUAGUCCCGUAUUCGAAAUCUCAAUAGUGGUACUAAGCGUACGAAAAGUAGGGCGGGACACGUGAAAUCCUGUCUGAAUAUGGGGGGACCAUCCUCCAAGGCUAAAUACUCAUCAUCGACCGAUAGUGAACCAGUACCGUGAGGGAAAGGCGAAAAGAACCCCGGGAGGGGAGUGAAAUAGAACCUGAAACCUGAUGCAUACAAACAGUGGGAGCACCCUUGUGGUGUGACUGCGUACCUUUUGUAUAAUGGGUCAACGACUUACAUUCAGUAGCGAGCUUAACCGAAUAGGGGAGGCGUAGGGAAACCGAGUCUUAAUAGGGCGAAGAGUUGCUGGGUGUAGACCCGAAACCGAGUGAUCUAUCCAUGGCCAGGUUGAAGGUGCCGUAACAGGUACUGGAGGACCGAACCCACGCAUGUUGCAAAAUGCGGGGAUGAGCUGUGGAUAGGGGUGAAAGGCUAAACAAACUCGGAGAUAGCUGGUUCUCCCCGAAAACUAUUUAGGUAGUGCCUCGAGCAAGACACUGAUGGGGGUAAAGCACUGUUAUGGCUAGGGGGUUAUUGCAACUUACCAACCCAUGGCAAACUAAGAAUACCAUCAAGUGGUUCCUCGGGAGACAGACAGCGGGUGCUAACGUCCGUUGUCAAGAGGGAAACAACCCAGACCGCCAGCUAAGGUCCCAAAUGAUAGAUUAAGUGGUAAACGAAGUGGGAAGGCCCAGACAGCCAGGAUGUUGGCUUAGAAGCAGCCAUCAUUUAAAGAAAGCGUAAUAGCUCACUGGUCGAGUCGUCCUGCGCGGAAGAUGUAACGGGGCUCAAAUCUAUAACCGAAGCUGCGGAUGCCAGUUUACUGGCAUGGUAGGGGAGCGUUCUGUAGGCCGAUGAAGGUGCAUUGUAAAGUGUGCUGGAGGUAUCAGAAGUGCGAAUGUUGACAUGAGUAGCGAUAAAGCGGGUGAAAAGCCCGCUCGCCGAAAGCCCAAGGUUUCCUACGCAACGUUCAUCGGCGUAGGGUGAGUCGGCCCCUAAGGCGAGGCAGAAAUGCGUAGUCGAUGGGAAACAGGUUAAUAUUCCUGUACUUGAUUCAAAUGCGAUGUGGGGACGGAGAAGGUUAGGUUAGCAAGCUGUUGGAAUAGCUUGUUUAAGCCGGUAGGUGGAAGACUUAGGCAAAUCCGGGUCUUCUUAACACCGAGAAGUGAUGACGAGUGUCUACGGACAUGAAGUAACCGAUACCACGCUUCCAGGAAAAGCCACUAAGCUUCAGUUUGAAUCGAACCGUACCGCAAACCGACACAGGUGGGCAGGAUGAGAAUUCUAAGGCGCUUGAGAGAACUCGGGAGAAGGAACUCGGCAAAUUGAUACCGUAACUUCGGGAGAAGGUAUGCCCUCUAAGGUUAAGGACUUGCUCCGUAAGCCCUGGAGGGUCGCAGAGAAUAGGUGGCUGCGACUGUUUAUUAAAAACACAGCACUCUGCUAACACGAAAGUGGACGUAUAGGGUGUGACGCCUGCCCGGUGCUGGAAGGUUAAUUGAAGAUGUGCAAGCAUCGGAUCGAAGCCCCAGUAAACGGCGGCCGUAACUAUAACGGUCCUAAGGUAGCGAAAUUCCUUGUCGGGU